GUCCACGCCGUAAACGAUGUCGACUAGCCGUUGGCCCCUAUUGGGGUUAGUGGCGCAGCUAACGCAUUAAGUCGACCGCCUGGGGAGUACGGCCGCAAGGUUAAAACUCAAAUGAAUUGACGGGGCCCGCACAAGCGGUGGAGCAUGUGGUUUAAUUCGAUGCAACGCGAAGAACCUUACCUACCCUUGACAUCCUCAGAAUUUGUCAGAGAUGACUUAGUGCCUUCGGGAACUGAGAGACAGGUGCUGCAUGGCUGUCGU
rnacentral:rRNA from 1 species